rnacentral:ncRNA from 1 species
GAGGAAGGAUCGGCGGCUAACCGCCCAGGCGUCCUGCCUGAACGCCGCCGUCAUCACCUCCUGUGAAA